rnacentral:rRNA from 1 species
UGACCCUACGGGAGGCAGCAGUGGGGAAUAUUGCACAAUGGGGGAAACCCUGAUGCAGCGACGCCGCGUGAGUGAAGAAGUAAUUCGUUAUGUAAAGCUCUAUCAGCAGGGAAGAAAAUGACGGUACCUGAGUAAGAAGCCCCGGCUAACUACGUGCCAGCAGCCGCGGUAAUACGUAGGGGGCAAGCGUUAUCCGGAUUUACUGGGUGUAAAGGGAGCGUAGACGGCAGGGCAAGUCAGAUGUGAAAGCCCGGGGCUCAACCCCGGUACUGCAUUUGAAACUGUCCAGCUGGAGUGCAGGAGAG